UCAAGUGAAGAAGCGCAUACGGUGGAUGCCUUGGCAGUCAGAGGCGAUGAAAGACGUGGUAGCCUGCGAAAAGCUUCGGGGAGUCGGCAAACAGACUUUGAUCCGGAGAUCUCUGAAUGGGGGAACCCACCUAGGAUAACCUAGGUAUCUUGUACUGAAUCCAUAGGUGCAAGAGGCGAACCAGGGGAACUGAAACAUCUAAGUACCCUGAGGAAAAGAAAUCAACCGAGAUUCCCUUAGUAGUGGCGAGCGAACGGGGAUUAGCCCUUAAGCUUCAUUGAUUUUAGCGGAACGCUCUGGAAAGUGCGGCCAUAGUGGGUGAUAGCCCCGUACGCGAAAGGAUCUUUGAAGUGAAAUCGAGUAGGACGGAGCACGAGAAACUUUGUCUGAACAUGGGGGGACCAUCCUCCAAGGCUAAAUACUACUGACUGACCGAUAGUGAACCAGUACCGUGAGGGAAAGGCGAAAAGAACCCCGGAGAGGGGAGUGAAAUAGAACCUGAAACCGUAUGCGUACAAGCAGUGGGAGCCUACUUGUUAGGUGACUGCGUACCUUUUGUAUAAUGGGUCAGCGACUUAUAUUCAGUGGCAAGCUUAACCGUAUAGGGUAGGCGUAGCGAAAGCGAGUCUUAAUAGGGCGUUUAGUCGCUGGGUAUAGACCCGAAACCGGGCGAUCUAUCCAUGAGCAGGUUGAAGGUUAGGUAACACUGACUGGAGGACCGAACCCACUCCCGUUGAAAAGGUAGGGGAUGACUUGUGGAUCGGAGUGAAAGGCUAAUCAAGCUCGGAGAUAGCUGGUUCUCCUCGAAAGCUAUUUAGGUAGCGCCUCAUGUAUCACUCUGGGGGGUAGAGCACUGUUUCGGCUAGGGGGUCAUCCCGACUUACCAAACCGAUGCAAACUCCGAAUACCCAGAAGUGCCGAGCAUGGGAGACACACGGCGGGUGCUAACGUCCGUCGUGAAAAGGGAAACAACCCAGACCGCCAGCUAAGGUCCCAAAGUUGUGGUUAAGUGGUAAACGAUGUGGGAAGGCUUAGACAGCUAGGAGGUUGGCUUAGAAGCAGCCAUCCUUUAAAGAAAGCGUAAUAGCUCACUAGUCGAGUCGGCCUGCGCGGAAGAUGUAACGGGGCUCAAACCACACACCGAAGCUGCGGGUGUCACGUAAGUGACGCGGUAGAGGAGCGUUCUGUAAGCCUGUGAAGGUGAGUUGAGAAGCUUGCUGGAGGUAUCAGAAGUGCGAAUGCUGACAUGAGUAACGACAAUGGGUGUGAAAAACACCCACGCCGAAAGACCAAGGGUUCCUGCGCAACGUUAAUCGACGCAGGGUUAGUCGGUUCCUAAGGCGAGGCUGAAAAGCGUAGUCGAUGGGAAACAGGUUAAUAUUCCUGUACUUCUGGUUACUGCGAUGGAGGGACGGAGAAGGCUAGGCCAGCUUGGCGUUGGUUGUCCAAGUUUAAGGUGGUAGGCUGAAAUCUUAGGUAAAUCCGGGGUUUCAAGGCCGAGAGCUGAUGACGAGUCGUCUUUUAGAUGACGAAGUGGUUGAUGCCAUGCUUCCAAGAAAAGCUUCUAAGCUUCAGGUAACCAGGAACCGUACCCCAAACCGACACAGGUGGUCGGGUAGAGAAUACCAAGGCGCUUGAGAGAACUCGGGUGAAGGAACUAGGCAAAAUGGCACCGUAACUUCGGGAGAAGGUGCGCCGGCUAGGGUGAAGGAUUUACUCCGUAAGCUCUGGCUGGUCGAAGAUACCAGGCCGCUGCGACUGUUUAUUAAAAACACAGCACUCUGCAAACACGAAAGUGGACGUAUAGGGUGUGACGCCUGCCCGGUGCCGGAAGGUUAAUUGAUGGGGUUAGCGCAAGCGAAGCUCUUGAUCGAAGCCCCGGUAAACGGCGGCCGUAACUAUAACGGUCCUAAGGUAGCGAAAUUCCUUGUCGGGUAAGUUCCGACCUGCACGAAUGGCGUAACGAUGGCGGCGCUGUCUCCACCCGAGACUCAGUGAAAUUGAAAUCGCUGUGAAGAUGCAGUGUAUCCGCGGCUAGACGGAAAGACCCCGUGAACCUUUACUGUAGCUUUGCACUGGACUUUGAGCCUGCUUGUGUAGGAUAGGUGGGAGGCUUUGAAGCGUGGACGCCAGUUCGCGUGGAGCCAUCCUUGAAAUACCACCCUGGCAUGCUUGAGGUUCUAACUCUGGUCCGUAAUCCGGAUCGAGGACAGUGUAUGGUGGGCAGUUUGACUGGGGCGGUCUCCUCCUAAAGAGUAACGGAGGAGUACGAAGGUGCGCUCAGACCGGUCGGAAAUCGGUCGCAGAGUAUAAAGGCAAAAGCGCGCUUGACU
rnacentral:rRNA from 1 species